ACCUGCGGAAGGAUCAUUGUCGUGACCCUAAACAAAACAGAGUGUGAAUAUGUCUUCCAUGCUGUCGGGUGAUGGUCAUUGCACUAUCUCUUGGCUUGGACCCCUGUCGUUCUCAUGAAGGGGAGAGGUCUCAAACAGAAACCACGGCGCUGUAUGGCGUCAAGGAACAACUGAUGUUGCUUGCUUGGGGUUGUGGCCAGCCUGGUGGCAGAUCCCUGAGCUGCGAUGGUACUUGAAUCCAUAAGACUCUCGGCAACGGAUAUCUUGGCUCUCGCAUCGAUGAAGAACGUAGCAAAAUGCGAUACCUGGUGUGAAUUGCAGAAUCCCGUGAACCAUCGAGUUUUUGAACGCAAGUUGCGCCCGAGGCCUCCUGGUUGAGGGCACGUCUGCCUGGGCGUCACGCCAAUUGACACUCCACCACCAUUCAGGUAUUGGAUGUGGAGUCUGACCUUCCAUGCCCGGAAGGGUGUGGUAGGCAAAAGUAAGAGGCUGUUGCUGUGGUGCCAGUCACAACACUUGGUGGACAACAUGCGUUGUUCUCGGAGUUGUGACUUGUACUGCUUCUGGCGACAUUGGCACUUUGGACCCAUGAAUUGAGCGUCGUUGCUCGAACCGCGACCCCAGGUCAGUCGGGAUUACCCGCUGAAUUUAAGCAUAUCAAUAAG
rnacentral:rRNA from 1 species